UACGAAGGGGGCUAGCGUUGCUCGGAAUUACUGGGCGUAAAGCGCACGUAGGCGGCUUCUUAAGUCGGUGGUGAAAUCCUGGAGCUCAACUCCAGAACUGCCUUCGAUACUGGGAAGCUCGAGUCCGGGAGAGGUGAGUGGAACUGCGAGUGUAGAGGUGAAAUUCGUAGAUAUUCGGAAGAACACCAGUGGCGAAGGCGGCUCACUGGACCGGUAUUGACGCUGAGGUGCGAAAGCGUGGGGAGCAAACAGG
rnacentral:rRNA from 1 species